rnacentral:rRNA from 1 species
AUUGAACGCUGGCGGCAGGCCUAACACAUGCAAGUCGAGCGCGCGGCGGAGGGGUGAGUAAUGUAUGGGGAUCUGCCCGUUAGAGGGGGAUAACAACUGUAAACGGUAGCUAAUACCGCAUACUCUCUGAUGUACCCCUAUGGGAUUAGCUGGUAGGUGAGGUAAUGGCUCACCUCGGCGACGAUCCCUAGCUGGUCUGAGAGGAUGAUCAGCCACACUGGGACUGAGACACGGCCCAGACUCCUACGGGAGGCAGCAGUGGGGAAUUUUGGACAAUGGGGGAAACCCUGAUCCAGCCAGCCCGCGUGUAUGAAGAAGGCCUUCGGGUUGUAAAGUACUUUUGGCAGGGAAGCGGUAUCUGCAGAAUAAGCACCGGCUAACUACGUGCCAGCAGCCGCGGUAAUUC